UUCUCGUGUAACCGUGUACGCCUAAGUACAAAAUGUAAACAAACAUUUUGGUAGUGCCGGUGGUGAGCGAGUUGUCCACGAAGCGAAUCAAAUCCGGACGCGGCCACAGCCAGGAGUCGGACGCGGACACCUUUGUGAGCCAAAACAGCAGCAGCGGAAGGUGGGUGGUGCCGGUGCGGGACGAGGUCGGGGGAAAGUUGGUUUUCGAAAAAGGACAAGGCCAGCUUCCUGCAGGACCUGCAACUGUUUCACGACCGGAGUUGGACGCAGUUUAUGCGGUUCCCGAAGAUCGGAGGUCGGGAUGUGGAUUUGCACCGGUUGUAUUCGGUGGUGGUGGCCAGGUGGACGAAAUUAAAGUUGAAGCAGAUUUACAUCCGCUUUUCGAACAAGUAAGAUAAAGUAAAUUUUAUCGGUGAGGAGAAGGAUCCGACGGAAGAGGGAAACGACGAGAAGCGACCGGAGGUGGUCAGCGCGAAUGUUGCACUCGGUGCCGGCGGUUUACGACCACCAGCAGCAUUAUGUGCCGGAAGUGAUGACGGGACACUGUGGGAUGUCCUGAGGGUCCGCAGUUCAUAUCUCGCUACGGCACAUGUUUGACGAGUAUUACCGAGUAAAGCCGCAGGUCCUGAAGCUGUCGUACUCGGAUUACUUCUAGAGGUUGCAGCGAUAUCCGACGAACCUGAUCAAGAACAUCUAUCUGGAAUACCGAAGAAUUCACCGCAACUCCGCCCGCAAACGCUCAACUCGCGACUGCGCGGCUUCGGCCGGAUGAACUGGCAACAUCUGUGUCAUUCUCGAAGGAUGACCAAGUGAUCUGGAACUAUCGGUUCAGGCGCUUCACUACCCAGUCGGAAAACGUCGACUUCCUUUCCCGAAUCAACACCCAAUGGCCAACUCCUCCAAGCCUGUCCUGAUGAUGGCUGGCAACGAGACCACCCUGUUCUCUACAUCGUUGUCGCGCUCCAAGAUGAAGGCCGCGAUGUUAAGCAGCAUAAGCAGCAGUUUUAGUAUUAAAAUAAAAAUAGAAAUAAAAUCCAUCACAUUUUUCGAAA